rnacentral:rRNA from 1 species
CGAUUGACGGAGCGAAGCGACGUCAAAGCGUUCAUUAAAGUCGAGUUGGCUUAGGGAUACGUUCGUUGGGUAGGGGAGCGUUCUGUAAGCCGUUGAAGGUGGCCUGUGAGGGUUGCUGGAGGUAUCAGAAGUGCGAAUGCUGACAUAAGUAACGAUAAAGCGGGUGAAAAGCCCGCUCGCCGGAAGACCAAGGGUUCCUGUCCAACGUUAAUCGGGGCAGGGUGAGUCGACCCCUAAGGCGAGGCCGAAAGGCGUAGUCGAUGGGAAACGGGUUAAUAUUCCCGUACUUGGUGUUACUGCGAAGGGGGGACGGAGAAGGCUAUGUUGGCCGGGCGACGGUUGUCCCGGUUUAAGCGUGUAGGUGUGUGUUCCAGGUAAAUCCGGUUCACUUUAACACUGAGGCGUGACGACGAGGCACUACGGUGCUGAAGCAACAAAUGCCCUGCUUCCAGGAAAAGCCUCUAAGCAUCAGGUAACAUCAAAUCGUACCCCAAACCGACACAGGUGGUCAGGUAGAGAAUACCAAGGCGCUUGAGAGAACUCGGGUGAAGGAACUAGGCAAAAUGGUGCCGUAACUUCGGGAGAAGGCACGCUGACACGUAGGUGAAGUGAUUUACUCAUGGAGCUGAAGUCAGUCGAAGAUACCAGCUGGCUGCAACUGUUUAUUAAAAACACAGCACUGUGCAAACACGAAAGUGGACGUAUACGGUGUGACGCCUGCCCGGUGCCGGAAGGUUAAUUGAUGGGGUCAGCGCAAGCGAAGCUCCUGAUCGAAGCCCCGGUAAACGGCGGCCGUAACUAUAACGGUCCUAAGGUAGCGAAAUUCCUUGUCGGGUAAGUUCCGACCUGCACGAAUGGCGUAAUGAUGGCCAGGCUGUCUCCACCCGAGACUCAGUGAAAUUGAACUCGCUGUGAAGAUGCAGUGUACCCGCGGCAAGACGGAAAGACCCCGUGAACCUUUACUAUAGCUUGACACUGAACAUUGAGCCUUGAUGUGUAGGAUAGGUGGGAGGCUUUGAAGUGUGGACGCCAGUCUGCAUGGAGCCGGCCUUGAAAUACCACCCUUUAAUGUUUGAUGUUCUAACGUGGACCCGUAAUCCGGGUUGCGGACAGUGUCUGGUGGGUAGUUUGACUGGGGCGGUCUCCUCCUAAAGAGUAACGGAGGAGCACGAAGGUUGGCUAAUCCUGGUCGGACAUCAGGAGGUUAGUGCAAUGGCAUAAGCCAGCUUGACUGCGAGCGUGACGGCGCGAGCAGGUGCGAAAGCAGGUCAUAGUGAUCCGGUGGUUCUGAAUGGAAGGGCCAUCGCUCAACGGAUAAAAGGUACUCCGGGGAUAACAGGCUGAUACCGCCCAAGAGUUCAUAUCGACGGCGGUGUUUGGCACCUCGAUGUCGGCUCAUCACAUCCUGGGGCUGAAGUAGGUCCCAAGGGUAUGGCUGUUCGCCAUUUAAAGUGGUACGCGAGCUGGGUUUAGAACGUCGUGAGACAGUUCGGUCCCUAUCUGCCGUGGGCGCUGGAGAACUGAGGGGGGCUGCUCCUAGUACGAGAGGACCGGAGUGGACGCAUCACUGGUGUUCGGGUUGUCAUGCC